UGUUCUCCGGUGGCGCGGCUACAGAAAAAAAUCGUCUUUUUGCCCUGCAGCAUUGUGCACAUGUGCAAAAUUCCUGGAUGUGAACAACAACAUCCACUGGGUCCAUACUGUAGCAACAGUCCAUCUAAAUCACAUGAUCACUCUGAAACCAGACGCUCACACUCAGGAACUGUUACCAUGGUGAUGGACACGCCUCUGUUUUCAGCAGAACUACAUUCUUCCUGUUUUAUGAACGUCAACAAAAGCAUGCUGUCUGCGAGGAGCGACGUAAUGAAGGGAAGUGAACUUUGGUCUAAACCACGUCAGAUGUGACCAGCUCUAACGGCUGUGAUGCGUUCAGGGACUGUUUGUUUAUUUCAGUGGGUUUCCAGAGAGCGGAUCUGUUCAUAAAACUCAGAUGAACCCAGA